GUCUUCUUAUGAUGGGGAGUCUUAUUCCAAUGGUCUUGGGAAAAGUUGUCCCCAGCAUGAAGUCAACAACUUCUCAUCCUGAUUUGCAGUUUGAUUGUCUCUGGUGUGACAUCAGGCAUUCUGGUGAAUUCUCUAUGUGGCACAUGUAUCAGACGAAGUUAUACGGAAGCGUCUCCUCAUUGAUGGAGAUGGUGCUGGAGAUGAUCGGAGAAUUAAUCUGCUAGUGAAGAGUUUCAUUAAAUGGUGCAACUCUGGGUCCCAGGAAGAGGGAUAUAGCCAGUACCAACGUAUGCUGAGCACGCUGUCUCAAUGUGAAUUUUCAAUGGGCAAAACUUUACUAGUAUAUGAUAUGAAUCUCAGAGAAAUGGAAAAUUAUGAAAAAAUUUACAAGGAAAUAGAAUGUAGCAUAGCUGGAGCACAUGAAAAAAUUGCUGAGUGCAAAAAGCAAAUUCUUCAAGCAAAACGAAUACGAAAAAAUCGCCAAGAAUAUGAUGCUUUGGCAAAAGUGAUUCAGCACCAUCCAGACAGGCAUGAGACAUUAAAG
rnacentral:lncRNA from 10 species